rnacentral:rRNA from 1 species
CUUGAACGCUGGCGGCAGGCUUAACACAUGCGAGUCGAGCGGAGAUGAGGUGCUUGCACCUUAUCUUAGCGGCGGACGGGUGAGUAAUGCUUAGGAAUCUGCCUAUUAGUGGGGGACAACAUUCCGAAAGGAAUGCUAAUACCGCAUACGUCCUACGGGAGAAAGCAGGGGAUCUUCGGACCUUGCGCUAAUAGAUGAGCCUAAGUCGGAUUAGCUAGUUGGUGGGGUAAGGGCCUACCAAGGCGACGAUCUGUAGCGGGUCUGAGAGGAUGAUCCGCCACACUGGGACUGAGACACGGCACAGACUCCUACGGGAGGCAGCAGUGGGGAAUAUUGGACAAUGGGGGGAACCCUGAUCCAGCCAUGCCGCGUGUGUGAAGAAGGCCUUAUGGUUGUAAAGCACUUUAAGCGAGGAGGAGGCUACUGAGACUAAUACUCUUGGAUAGUGGACGUUACUCGCAGAAUAAGCACCGGCUAACUCUGUGCCAGCAGCCGCCGUAACAC